rnacentral:lncRNA from 1 species
GGAAAUUGAAGACCAAGACCAAGACCCAGACCACGGAAAAUUCUAUGAAAUACCGUCAAAAACAUACUUAAAGACAAAGUUCAUAUAUUAAUGCAUAAUGUCUUCCAUGAAAUACAUUACAAUCUUGAAAUACGUUCCAAUUAGAAAAACCUUCAACCACAAUAUAAUCACUACCUGCUUGUUCUCCAAUGUUUGGUUUAAAAAGGUAGCAGCAAAG